AAGCCCUGCAGUGUGAACAUAGUCUUAGAGAAGAUGGCGCGUGUGUGAGGAGAAGGGGAGGGGUGGUGGUUGCAGGCAGCUAGGAGCACAGCCGCAAUUACGCUGUUAAUAAAGACUCUAACAGAUUUUCUGGGGGGACACCUUCUCUUUAUUAUGGUUCUCCUUCCUCCGAACACACACAACAUGAACACACACCCCCCUCUCACGCUGUACAUGCUCAUCUCCCUCCUUCGCUGCAUCCGCUCCCUCCUCCUCUCACACACGCAUGCGCGGUCCCCAGCAUAUACACACCCCCACUCCUCAACACAGUAAAACAGCUGCACUUUUUGAGAUCAUAAAUAAACAAUUGAUCAUUUUUUCAUGUUGAUGAUUUGUAUUCUUUGAAUUGUUUUAAUGUUUUCUACCAAUAUCAAAUAUAGGGAUGGGUAUUGUUAAGGUUAUAACGGGGUCGAUUAAUUGAGACACCGCGACUCCUGCUGCUUCAUCAAAAAUCCCACACUGUCACAGCUCUAGCUUAUAUCUUGUGUGACACAAACAUGCAACACAAAAUGUGACUUCUCCAGUACCGAUAGCAGAACCGUUGAGGUCAGAUCUUAACGAUACUGUGGUCUACAAGAAUGUUGCCCUGGGGCUCGUUCAGUACCGCGGCUCGAUACCCAUCCCUAAUCAAAUAGUCUUUUGAAUGGCAAACUUGUAUUUUUUUCCCUCACAGAUCUGCCUGAAGUGUCACCUACUACCCACCUUGUUGCAAAAAAAACAGCAACAAGACAUAAAAAAGCUGACAGAAAAAGUUCAGAGGCAGGAGGAGCUCAUCAAAGAGCUGUCAGCUGAGAAAGAUUUUCUGAAAGAACAGCUAGCAAAAUAUCCUCCACAAGCCUCCACAAGUGACAUAAUGCUGCAUGGGAAAAAACAAAAAACUUCCAAAGUUCAGUCAAGUUCAUCUGCAAGUUCAUCAAGCAGUUCUUCCGACUGGAGUGACUCUUCGUCUGAGUUUUCAUCUUCAGAUGAAGAGGAGAAGAAGAAGAAAAAGAAGGGAAAAAAAAGAAAGGAACACCAAAAAAUGAAGGAAAAAAAAGAGUCAAAAAAAGAGGUGAGAGUGGAAAGAAGAGACAAAACAAAGCCCGCAAACGUGUCAGAAGAGAUGAGGUGGUGGAGCGUUACCGGAAGGUGCUCAAGCCCUACAACAAAGGACGGACAUUGUCCUCAGCAUUUCAAAAAGUGGGAGUUGAUAGGAACACAAUUGUUUGCAGUGCUGCGGUGGCAGAACUUGCCAUUGUAGCCCCACAGAAGUAUACAGAGCUGAAACAACUCCACAGUACAAAAAAGAAGCUAAGUGACGUCACAAAGGCUUGCAUCAGCAUAAUUUAUGGUGAUUUACAUAUUGAAGAUAGAAUUGAGACUUUUAAAAAAAGUCGACAGUUACUGCCCUUGGAAAGGGCAGAUUCUGAGUUUAAACAUUUUAAAGUGUAUUGUAAGUUGUUAAGUUCUAAAUGUUAUACAAGGCACAAUCUGUAAUGUGGUUGUGAUGUGUUGAAGCAAGUUAUAUGUUUGUGGCUGUGGUUAAUGUUAUAAAGGUCAUUUUUCAUAUUCUGUACUUUGUGGUUCUUUGUGGCAGAACAUAGCCCACACUUAGGAGGCAGCAAAACACUCAA